rnacentral:rRNA from 1 species
GACGUAGGGCGCGAGCGUUGUCCGGAUUUAUUGGGCGUAAAGAGCUCGUAGGCGGCUUGUCGCGUCGAAUGUGAAAACCCACAGCUCAACUCUGGGCUUGCAUUCGAUACGGGCAGGCUCGAGUUCGGUAGGGGAGACUGGAAUUCCUGGUGUAGCGGUGAAAUGCGCAGAUAUCGAGAGGAACACCAGUGGCGAAGGCGAGUCCCUGGACACUUCCUGACACUGAGGCACGAAAGCUAGGGGAGCAAACAGG